CCUGGCGGCAAUAGCGCAGUGGAACCACCUGACCCCAUGCCGAACUCAGAAGUGAAACGCUGUAGCGCCGAUGGUAGUGUGGCAUUCGCCAUGC
rnacentral:rRNA from 2 species